CCCUUAGAUGUUCUGGGCUGCACGCGUGCUACAAUGGCGUUUCCAGCAAGUCUGCGAACCCGAGAGGGCCAGCGGAUCUUCGAAUUGGCGUCGUGAUCGGGACAGUCGAUUGCAAUUAUUUGACUCAAACGAGGAAUUCCUUGUAAUCGCGAUUCAUCAUAUCGCGCUGAAUACGUCCCUGCCCUUUGUACACACCGCCCGUCGCUCCUACCGAUUGAGCGAUCCGGUAAAUGUUUUGGAUUGGUGCCGGGGCGGCUAGCUGCCGGUCACUACGAAAUUUUGUGAACCUUAUCGCUUAGAGGAAGGAAAAGUCGUAACA
rnacentral:rRNA from 1 species